CUUUGGACCCAGAGCAGAGGCCGGCGAGCUGCGAACUGGCGGGCUGCGGGUGGCUGCGGACCGCACCGCGGGGAGGCGGAAAGUUUCUCCGCCCGCCUCGUCCUGCGAGCCGGCGUCGCCCGCUGCGGGCCCUGCCCGGCCGAGCAGUUCCGCAAAAAGAGAGGAUCGCACAGCAAAAUACAGUGGAAACAAAACCCCAAGCCAGCCGCGAGGCGCAGGGGGCAGUGGACAUAGGACCGGUGCUUGGGGCAGCCCUGAAUGUCCGUGGAAGUGGACCUGCUGUCAGAGUGGCCUGAGCCAAGCGUGCACGCUGGAGCCCGGAGGAGAAGGAGGAGGAGGAGCACCAGCCAUGCUUCGGAAAGACCUGGACGCCACUGGCAGCCAGCGCGUGCUCAGACUUAGGGGAGGAAGACUUCGGGGCACUGGGCGGAAGGGGGUUCCUGCUUCUUUCUUCCUUCCUCCUGCCGCCUGCCUCCAAGGCAAGGUCUUUCCCAGCUGGAUGGCUCUCUGGAUUGUGUAGCACCUAAGACAGGAAAGAGAGAGAAAGGAAAACAAAUCAAGUGAAACCUCUCCUGUGUGCUCAGCCUGCAGGGGCUUCGGGGCUGGGGGUGGCUGGAGUGGGAAGCUCGGUGCUCGCACAGGCGGGUUGGAGAGUGAUUCUCCACAGGAAACCUGAGAAACGUUUAUUCAGCUAACUGACACUAAACAAGGUGGGGCAGCCCGGGUGGGCCAAGGAGCCAAGCUGGUCCUGUUGGGACACACUUUCCUGCGGGGGACAUAUCCACAUCGGUCCUGCUCUGACCUGAGUUGGUGAGGCAGUCAGGACGGGACCCUAGGGACAGCGUGGCGGUGAGCACCAGGAUCUGCCCGAUACCGCUCUCCCUGAGAAGGGCCUUCGGGAGCGCAGCCUUGGCGGGCAAAUCUGCUUCUACUCUGCGUGACAGAAGAAAGUGGAGUCCGCUAUCUAAGGUGGUGACUGCGGGUUUCUCUUGCCGGAAGACCAUGGUAUUCAGUGUGUAGCAGACCCAGAAUCAGUAGCAGACCUUCCUUCCUCUUUCCCUUCUUUCUCCUCUCACCAUGAUG
rnacentral:lncRNA from 1 species